GUAUUCCGCUCCAUAGCGUAUAUUAAAGUUGUUGCAGUUAAAAAGCUCGUAGUUGAAUUUCGGGGUUAGUAGGUUGGUCAUGCCUCUGGUAUGUACUGGUCUCACUGAUUCCUCCUUCCUGAUGAGCCGUAAUGCCAUUAAUUUGGUGUUGCGGGGAAUUUGGACUGUUACUUUGAAAAAAUUAGAGUGUUUAAAGCAAGCUAACGCUUGAAUACAUUAGCAUGGAAUAAUGAAAUAGGACGUUCGAUCCUAUUUUGUUGGUUUCUAGGAUUGACGUAAUGAUUAAUAGGGAUAGUUGGGGGCAUUAGUAUUCAAUUGUCAGAGGUGAAAUUCUUGGAUUUAUUGAAGACUAACUACUGCGAAAGCAUUUGCCAAGGAUGUUUUCAUUAAUCAAGAACGAAAGUUAGGGGAUCGAAGACGAUCAGAUACCGUCGUAGUCUUAACCAUAAACUAUGCCGACUAGGGAUCGGAUGAUGUUAAUUUUUUAAUGACUCAUUCGGCACCUUACGGGAAACA
rnacentral:rRNA from 1 species